rnacentral:rRNA from 1 species
ACCCUUUAAUGUUUGAUGUUCUAACGUGGACCCGUUACCCGGGUUGCGGACAGUGUCUGGUGGGUAGUUUGACUGGGGCGGUCUCCUCCUAAAGAGUAACGGAGGAGCACGAAGGUUGGCUAAUCCUGGUCGGACAUCAGGAGGUUAGUGCAAUGGCAUAAGCCAGCUUGACUGCGAGCGUGACGGCGCGAGCAGGUGCGAAAGCAGGUCAUAGUGAUCCGGUGGUUCUGAAUGGAAGGGCCAUCGCUCAACGGAUAAAAGGUACUCCGGGGAUAACAGGCUGAUACCGCCCAAGAGUUCAUAUCGACGGCGGUGUUUGGCACCUCGAUGUCGGCUCAUCACAUCCUGGGGCUGAAGUAGGUCCCAAGGGUAUGGCUGUUCGCCAUUUAAAGUGGUACGCGAGCUGGGUUUAGAACGUCGUGAGACAGUUCGGUCCCUAUCUGCCGUGGGCGCUGGAGAACUGAGGGGGGCUGCUCCUAGUACGAGAGGACCGGAGUGGACGCAUCACUGGUGUUCGGGUUGUCAUGCCAAUGGCACUGCCCGGUAGCUAAAUGCGGAAGAGAUAAGUGCUGAAAGCAUCUAAGCACGAAACUUGCCCCGAGAUGAGUUCUCCCUGAGACUUAGAGUCUC